AGCAGGUGAAGGGGACAGGACACAGCCCUUAGCUUGCUACAUACUACGGAGACUCCACUGAGGAUUUUCUACUGAUAUUUACUUGAGGGUUGUGCAUGUUGGGAGAGAAUCAGCAGUGAGGAUGAGACAAGGUCAGGAUGUCCCAGAAACGCCACCACACCAAGCUAUCCUCCAGUCAUCUGCUUGACAGAAAGCAAGUUACUGCUGUGCUGGGUCAACUCUGCUACUACAAAAUGAUCCAGUUGUAUAUCCUCCUGAAGGUUACGAAUGGUUGCUCUGUUAACUAUAUGCAUACUUUGCAUAAAAAGAGAAAAUGUUUUGGCAGCAAUACACUGGUUUCUAUAUAUGAAACUAUUUUAGAAUAAAUACUGCAAGAGGAAAUUUGUACAGACAGUGGGGUGGAAUGUUUUGUUUACAUUAGACAGACCAGCAGAGUUUGGAAGGUGUUAUACUUAGCCUUUCCCAUUUACAGAGGCAACGUACCCAUCCUUGUACGGGAAAGCAAAUUUACCUUCGUUCACCUUUGUUCCGGGGAAAAAAGGGAGUAAAGAUUCUAAUCUCCAUUAUAAUCCUAUUGGGGCAGUGGCCUUAUUUUAUACUACAAUUCAGGACUUCCCAAUCCUACUUCUGUAGCCUAUAAUUAAAUGGCACAAAAGAGGCUGUAACCAAGCUGCAAGUACUCUGCAGAGAAUCCCACUACCAGAAGGGAACUCCCAGCUGGCCACAGACCCUGUGCCUCUGCAUCCUGGCUUCAUAGUGCAUUGUGGGCAU